GAAACUUUGUAAUGGAAUGCUGUCACUACAGAUAACACUUGGCAUCAAACUCCUUAGAUAUAAUAAUAACAAUCAAAUAAUCAACAACAUUCCAUUGCCAUCUAUUUUGGCCAAACUGCCUUCCAACAGCAGAAUUUUGAAAAAUUACCAAAGAACCGACUUAAGGUCAAAUAACAAAAAUUACAUGGCGUCCUAAUGGUCAAAGUUACCAUGUUUUAUUAAGAAAUGACACGAUGCAAACUGUCCUAAA
rnacentral:lncRNA from 1 species